UACGUAGGGGGCAAGCGUUGUCCGGAUUCAUUGGGCGUAAAGAGCGUGUAGGCGGCCAGGUAGGUCGGUUGUGAAAACUGGAGGCUCAACCUUCAGACGUCGACCGAAACCAUCUGGCUAGAGUCCGGGAGAGGAGAGUGGAAUUCCUGGUGUAGCGGUGAAAUGCGCAGAUAUCAGGAAGAACACCCGUGGCGAAAGCGGCUCUCUGGAACGGUACUGACGCUGAGACGCGAAAGCCAGGGGAGCAAACGGG
rnacentral:rRNA from 1 species